UUGGAGGGCAAGUCUGGUGCCAGCAGCCGCGGUAAUUCCAGCUCCAAUAGCGUAUAUUAAAGUUGUUGCAGUUAAAAAGCUCGUAGUUGAAUUUCGAGACCGGUCUACUGGUCGUGCUUUUGUACGUACUGGUUUUAUUGGUUUCUCCUUUCUGACGAACUAUAAUGCCAUUAAUUUGGUGUUAUGGGGAAUCAGGACUGUUACUUUGAAAAAAUUAGAGUGUUUAAAGCAGGC
rnacentral:rRNA from 1 species